rnacentral:rRNA from 1 species
GAUGAACGCUGGCGGCGUGCUUAACACAUGCAAGUCGAGCGAGUAAGUUCUUCGGAACGAUCUAGCGGCGGACGGGUGAGUAACACGUGGGCAACCUGCCUCAUAGAGGGGAAUAGCCUCCCGAAAGGGAGAUUAAUACCGCAUAACAUCGUUGAAGGGCAUCCUUCGAUGAUCAAAGGAGCAAUCCGCUAUGAGAUGGGCCCGCGGCGCAUUAGCUAGUUGGUGAGGUAACGGCUCACCAAGGCGACGAUGCGUAGCCGACCUGAGAGGGUGAUCGGCCACAUUGGGACUGAGACACGGCCCAGACUCCUACGGGAGGCAGCAGUGGGGAAUAUUGCACAAUGGGGGAAACCUUGAUGCAGCAACGCCGCGUGAGUGACGACGGCCUUCGGGUUGUAAAGCUCUGUCUUUGGGGACGAUAAUGACGGUACCCAAGGAGGAAGUCACGGCUAACUACGUGCCAGCCGCCGCGGUAA